GCAUUCCAAGAUCAAAGAAGGGAUUUUAUUAUUUUUUUAAGAAAGAAAGCAAAUAGAGAGAGAGAUUAUUCUCUUUAUCAGCAAGGUUGCAGUUAUCCAACCUUGUUGUGGCAGCAAGUACCAGUGUUCUUGACUUUGGAUGCUAUCAUUUUUGAUGGUUGGAGCUUAUAUCAACCACAACAGAAGAAAGUGCUUGAGUGAAUUAAUGGAGAAACAUUGUACAACCUAAAGAAUUCACAAGUUUCAUGUACUGAAGGGCAAGAUGUCACAUUUCACAGAACUGAUAUGCUUCUGAGAAUUGACAUGGGACAGCCUGAGAAGGAAGGCGUAAAGAUCCAUUUUCACUUUGGAUGGCUUUGCUGCACAGAAAACAAGAUCUGAUCCCCUUGUUUGACUACUGGGAUUACAGGCGCACCUUCUAAAGACAACCAAAGAGCCCUUCAGCCCAAGCAAACAGUUGACCUGAGAAGCCUGCAGAAGGAUUAUUUUCAAGUGCAGGGGUAUUGCUUGUUUGCUCUGCAUAUCUACCUCUAUUACUCUAUGUUUUAUCUCACAAACAGUGCUGAAUAUGCAGUACUGUAGGUUUCCUUAUUUCCUGUGUAACUAAAUACAAUGUAUUAAAAAUAGAUAUAACAAAUAGGGAGAAAUCUUUUAUGGCAGAAAGUAGGAGAGGAAAAUGGAUGGGUGUAAUAGGCAAAGAAAGAGGAAACACAAUGGAGUCAGAAAACAGAUAUGAUUUUCUCAAAAAUGACUAGAGAUUUUGAAAAUGUUCAUAUUUAAAUGUUCAAAUAUUAGAUUGUCAAAAGACUUUUAUUUCAUGUGAAAAUAUCUACUAGUUUCUGAAGGCUGUUAUUGAUUUGCUACCUUUCAUAAGAUAAAAAAAAAUAUAAGGCAGUCAAAAUCACCUGUCACAUUUGAGCCACAGAGCUUUAGUCUUCUCUGAAACCAGGAGAGGCUGCAUAAAAUUAAUGGCGGAAGAGAGAAUUAUGAAGUAUCAAAAUGUGUUUUCAUUUCCACAGUUUAUCCUCAGAGCCACUGGUACAGCCAUAAAGCUGUACCAUUACUAAAAUAUCACUGUAUUUGCCUGCUACUUCCAAUCAAGGAUCUCAGACUACAGACACAGGUAAUUGCAACUACUUCAUAUGGAACACAAUGAAUACAUCAUUUGGUUUCUUCUGCUGGAGAAUUUCUCAGAGAUUUUAUCUACUGCUACUUUCUUGGCAUUGUUCAUUUUAUUAUGCAUUUUUUGCAUGGUCCCAGACUUUGAUUUCAUCAUAUUAAAUUAUCUGUAGCCUAUCUUUUUUUUUUUUUUUUUAAGAUUAUGCAACUUCUCUUUUUUUUUCAGUUGCUUUUCAAGAAACC
ensembl:lncRNA